CGCGAAGCUACCGUAUCGACAGAAAGUGCACCGCCGGUGGCGGGGCCUACGGUGGCUGACUGGAGUCAAGCAUGUACAAGACUAACAUGGACAAACUGCGCUUGGAAAUCAGUGCAUGCACCCGUCUUUUUAAUGUCCCUCUUCUUUUCGAGAAUUCCGCUGAGUUCCAUCUCCAGAGGCAGUUUCAAGAGCUCGCUGCUAAUUCUACCCUUCAAGGCGUUUGCAAAAAGUCUGGCCAGUUCUUCGAGAGAGGGCGGGGGCGGGACUCCGGGCUCAAAGAGAGCCAGUGCCCAAUAAAAGAAAACGGCCCCACGGGACGCGGUGG
rnacentral:lncRNA from 10 species